ensembl:snRNA U6 U6 spliceosomal RNA
GCGCUCACUUUGGCAACACAUAUAUUAAAGUUGGAACAAUAUAGAGAAGAUUAGCAUGGCCCCUGUGCAAGGAGGGCAUGCAAAUUCAUUUCAUAGUUUU